rnacentral:tRNA from 1 species
CGCUGGUUAGUAUAAUUAAUACCUUUAAUUUAGGCUUAAAAAAAAGAUUGCAUCUACCAGCUA